rnacentral:rRNA from 1 species
GGGCAACCUACCUUGUAGAUUGGGAUAACUCCGGGAAACCGGGGCUAAUACCAAAUAAUCCAUUUUGCUUCAUGGCGAAAUGUUAAAAGGCGGCUUCGGCUGUCACUACGAGAUGGGCCCGCGGCGCAUUAGCUAGUUGGUAGGGUAACGGCCUACCAAGGCGACGAUGCGUAGCCGACCUGAGAGGGUGAUCGGCCACACUGGGACUGAGACACGGCCCAGACUCCUACGGGAGGCAGCAGUAGGGAAUCUUCCACAAUGGACGAAAGUCUGAUGGAGCAACGCCGCGUGAGUGAAGAAGGUUUUCGGAUCGUAAAACUCUGUUGUAAGGGAAGAACACGUACGAGAGUAACUGCUCGUACCUUGACGGUACCUUAUUAGAAAGCCACGGCUAACUACGUGCCAG